CAAAGUGGGUUGCGAUGCAUUAUUACAUUUCGGGUCGACAGUAACAACCCGUUUUGUAAUAAAAACCCGAAAUGUAAUAAAUUUUAUCAUGUCCAUUAAAUCAGAGAUACAGACUUUUUUAGAAGUUAUUUUCAUGUUUAAAUUAGUUUUAGAGUAGGUAUUGAAUGUUUCCCCGACCUUUGUUUUUAUAGACUCCAUCAACAAAUCAUGAAUGUAAUAAUUUAUUACAAAGUGGGUUGCGAUGCAUUAUUACAUUUCGGGUCGACAGUAACAACCCGUUUUGUAAUAAAAACCCGAAAUGUAAUAAAUUUUAUCAUGUCCAAUAAAUCAGAGAUAUAUACUUUUUUAGAAGUUAUUUUCAUGUUUAAAUUAGUUUAAGAGUAUGUAUUGACUGUUCCCCCGACCUUUGUUCUUAUAGACUCCAUAAACAAAUCAUGAAUGUAAUAAUUUAUUACAAAGUGGGUUGCGAU